UACGUAGGAUCCAAGCGUUAUCCGGAAUUACUGGGCGUAAAGCGUGCGCAGGCGGUUUUGUAAGUCAGAUGUGAAAUCCCCGGGCUUAACCUGGGAACUGCGUUUGAAACUACAAGGCUAGAGUGUGGCAGAGGGGGGUGGAAUUCCACGUGUAGCAGUGAAAUGCGUAGAGAUGUGGAGGAACACCGAUGGCGAAGGCAGCCCCCUGGGUUAACACUGACGCUCAGGCACGAAAGCGUGGGGAGCAAACAGG
rnacentral:rRNA from 1 species